ACUGAUAUCUAAUUAAUGCGAUUGCUAUAAUUUUAUGAAGGAAAAUCAUUACUGAAAUUAUGAAUGCAAGUUUUUAUUAUUGUUAACCUGAUACUGUCACUAUUUUCAAAUUAAUAAAGACAUCGCAAUAAUUUCUGAAUUUACAGUUCUGUAAUGCAUACUUUUUUGUUUCUGUAUGUGAGUUUAUGUAUACUCAGAAUGUGUUAUUCUGAUUUUGUUUGUUUGCAUGUGUUUACUCUAUUUUGAUGGAUGUACAUGUAUGUAUAUGUCUGAAAAAAAGUGAGAGAGAAAGAAAUUUCAUUGCAUAAUUGACUGACUGUAAUAAUGAAAUGAGAGAGAAAGAAAAUUGAAAUGAAUAAGUGACAGACUAUGACGAUGAAAGUGAGAGAGAAAGAAAGUCCCAUAGCAUAAUUGACUGACUUUAAUAAUGAAAUGAGAGAAAGAAAGUCAAAAUGAAUAAGUGACUGACUAUAAUGAUGAAAGUGAGAGAGAAAGAAAGUCAAAAUGAAUAUAUGACUGCAUGAAUCCAUGAAUAAAUUAGCUUAUUGACAUAUAUGCAUAUUUUCAUGUAUUUAUCUCAAAUAUACACAUACAAGUAUA